UAGCAUGCACAGAUGUGUCCCAAUGAUGGUAAGUCUGCGUGCACAGAUGUGCCCCAUGUGUAGUAAGGUAGCAUGCACAGAUGUGUCCCAAGGGUAGUAAGGUAGCAUGCACAGAUGUGUCCCAAGGGUAGUAAGGUAGCAUGCACAGAUGUGUCCCAAGGGUAGUAAGGUAGCAUGCACAGAUGUGUCCCAAGGGUAGUAAGGUAGCAUGCACAGAUGUGUCCCAAGGGUAGUAAGGUAGCAUGCACAGAUGUGUCCCAUGGGUAGUAAGGUAUCAUGCACAGAUGUGUCCCAAGGGCAGUAAGGUAGCAUGCACAGAUGUGUCCCAUGGGUAGUAGGGUAGCAUGGACAGAUGUGUCCCAAGGGUAGUAAG